CCUAGGAACAGGCCCGGGUCGCGUCUCUGGUCCCCCAGAGUCCUGUGUGGGAUGGCGUAGCGCGAGGUCCCGAUGCCCUCUAGUGGUUGGUCCCAGUGGAGGACACAACUUCCCACAUCUAUCUACCCUGCCACAGACCUGGCUUGUUGUCCCCUCCAGGCACAGCUGUCUCUCUUUAACUGUUUCAAAUCUUUGCUCACCCCCCCUACCUAUCCUGUGGCAUCCCCCAGCCCACUGCAGUGGACCCCGAGAUGGCAGGGCCCUCUCUCCUCUCUUCCCUCCACAUAUUCUCUCUGCAUAUUGUCUAAAAUCUCCCCUACUUUUUUAGUAAGUUUUUGUUUGUUUGUUUGUUUGUUUAAAGAGAGAGAGAGCAGGGGAGGGGCAGAGAGAGAGGGAGAGAGAAGAUCCCAAGCAAGCUCCAUGUUGUCAGCACAGAGCCCAACAUGAGGUUCGAACACCUGAACCGUGAGGUCAUGACUUGAGCUGAAAUCAAGAGUUGGAUGCCCAACAGACUGAGCCACCCAGGCGCCCCUCCAUCUACUUUAGAGGAAGUGAGUUCCCUUUAAAACUAGCAUGGGGACUCAUUGAGCUUCCCAUCCUUCCUGCUGUGCAGAGCAAUCCGUCUCUGGAAAAUAAAAUGAAAAGCCUGUGUCCAGACCUCCUCCUGCUGUGAGCUUUAUCUGAUUUCCCAUGUGGUGUCCACCACUGGCUUCUCCCACAAGAGCAGGACUUCCACCUCUGCCUCUGCAUCGUUCGUUCUGCCAACCCACCGCGGCCGGGCUCGGCCCGGCCCGGCAACGGUGUCGCAUGCCUCAGUCCAAGCAUUUCCCCUGCUUUUCCUCAACGCAGGUGGCAUCGGACAGUGUUUGCAGCGCUCUGCUUCCUGGACUCGGGCUUUUGUGACUCCAGGGGCCUGUAUGCACACACGCUAACAGUUCCGGGCCCUCUCUACACCUGCAUUCUCUUUCUGGACUAUUUUCCUCAAAUAAGUCAAGGUCCCCAUUCUCACUUAUUACCUCCAUGUGAGUGACCUAAAGAUACAUGAAAUCGCUAACCUCUCAGCAAGGUUCUGUGCCCAUGGCUCCACCAGCCAGGCAGACGCCCAUCCCCUGCAGAUAGUGCUCUGCAGAAACUAAUCCAGCUUGGCGCGGUAGAACAGGGGCCCCUAAUUUGUCAGCGUGGAGAAGCAUGAACAGUGGCUACGUUACACUGUAGGUGACAAAAUGGCUAAUUUUCUAGUAAGUUGUGUACUAUCGCACUGUAUAUUCUGCUAUAGUAAAGCAGGGGCACCUGGGUGGCUCUGUGGGUUGAGUGUCCGACU